UCACAUUUAAUGCAAAAUACGUCGAGAAUAAUAUAGUUUAAUUGAGAAAAUUAUACGUUUCGUUUAAGAAUAUCGACAUGUUAAAGUAAAUAUGCUUAUACUUAAAGUUUAAGUACAUUUUUGGUAUUUUCAAUAUGUCAUAAAUAAUUCUUUAUACCUAAUGUAAACUUAUGUUGAAACAUUUUUGAAAAAAAAACAUUUAGGCACCCUAUUAAUUUAAUUUAUUCAUUUCUCAUUUUUAUUUAUUUAACCCUUAUGUACAUUUUUUCAAAACUGUGGAAUAUAACUUAGUUUUUUUUCUCUAUGAUCGACUACUACUGUAGUACAAUUACAUCGGGAUCGAAGUCGGGCUCGAAAAGCAAUUAAUUUAAAAACAACACACCGCGCCGAAAUUCAAUUUCUUGGAGAGUUCCACGCAGCCAUGUUGAACUUGAUCAUGAUGUUGUACGGGGCGAAAGAGAGUGACACGAAAAGGAGAAGCAUGAUUAAGUUUGGAUGUAGUUUCUGUUUUAACAGAAGAUGAAGACAUUUACGACCCUGUUUAGCGUUGCAGUGGACUGUCCCUGAGACGAUUCCCCACAUCGCCGGCUAUGUAGACAGCAUGUGAAAAUGAAAUUGUGCCAGAAAAGUUUGAAGUAGCUAUGGGAAUGACCAACAUUGAACUUGCUGAGCCUUCCUUCUGAAAGUGACUUGACCAGAUAUUUGGCUACCCAGUAUGAGUAUCUUUCUGCUACAUGAAAUAAAAUAUCGUGGAGGAACACAAAGGAAAGGGCUGUGCAUCUCAACAUAUUCAAGGUCAAGCAGCUUUUUACCAUAUCCAUAGUAUCUUGCUGCUAAAUGAAAGAAUUAAUGUGGAGGAGCAGAGAAAAGGGCACUACAACAUGUUCAAGGUCAAGCAGAAAUUAGGAGCUAAAUGUGCUUCUCCAGAGCUGAAAACUUCUUGGCAUGAAGAGAAGAAAAAGAAGAAGAAGCAGUUUUAAAUAUUGAUUACGUCUUCAUAGUACAAAAAAUGAUUCUAAAGAUAAUACUAUCUAUGAAAUUAGAAAACUGAAGUUGCGUUCUGAUGAAUGUGAGAAAGUCUUCAAAGAACAGGACACCAAAUGUGCAACUCUCAAAUCAAAGCACUCUAAAAGGCAGAGCAUAAG